GCUUCCAUGGCUCAGCCGGUAGAGCGUAGGUCUCAUAUCACAUGAUAUGACAGCUUGUGCAAGCUGAAAUCCUAAGGUCGUGAGUUCGAGCCUCACUGGGAGCA